ACAAAAUAAAAAGAACCAAAGCCCCGCGCCUUGACACCUAUUAUCUCUCACUUGCACAAAAUAACACUUCAACAAAAUAACAGAUGAUCUUUUCUUCGAGCAUCUCUCCUCAAAACAUCAUCUCUUCUCGCGUUUUACUGUCCCUUUUCCUAGAUCGCUCUUCUCUCCCUAUCGUCUUCACAAUCCCUUCCUCCAUCUACAUCAUGAUCUUAGCCUACACACAUCACCGCCGAGAUUAGGGUUCUAUUAUCUCAACUCAGCCAUCACUCAAUUCCAUUUGUGAAGAAAUAGGGUUCUGCGUAUUGGGAAGAAGGAGGAGUUUCUUCAAUCCGCUGAAGAUUAGGGUUCUUCGAUCUCUAGGUUUACAACGUCAAUUUGGGGAUUCGUGGGCUACUCGAUUUGGGGUUUUUACGGCUCUUCGUCCUCUCUUCGCAAUCGCACUCGUCGUCUUGUUCAUUGCUUCUGGUAACUACUCCUCUUAAAUUUUUUCACCAUUUAAUUCGUUUUACUUGGGGAAUUCUGGAGUAGAAUGAUAGAUCUGGAUCUGGUAACCUCUUGCUUUGGAGGAGCCUGCCCCCGCCGCCUUGGAACUUACUGAAUCCUUCGUGACUGAGCCAGCCCCAAAACGCGAGGAGAUUUUCGCUGUUGUUAUGAUUGGAGGGCGCCAACAGAGAGAAAACGAGGAGGUGAAAAAAAGCAGAGAGAGAAGAGAACGUACUGCAGAAGAGGGAAGAAGGGAAAGAGGAAUCGAGAGGAGAUGGCGAUAUCAAGGAGGUAAUGGAAGAGACGAGUCUUGCAUGUAAUGAAAUGCUGAGGUAGCUAAUAACACCACCACACAUCUAACACUUUUAGGAAUUGUAACCUGUUGAAAACAAAUCCUAUACAGGGAAGCAGGCAAGUACUUUUUUACUGUUGUUUUCUUUCUUAUUGAUAUUAUGUUUUCCAUUACAAGGAGUCUCUUGGUUCAAAAUGUGGUCUGAAGGUUCAUCUUUCUCAAAUGUAUUUAUAUGCCUUGCACAAUUAUUCACACAAUGGUCUGUUGUUCUAUUUCCUAAUUCCAGAUUUGUUCCUACAUUAUUGCUUUUUACUAAAUUGAUAUCUGGACCUAUGGAAUUCAUCCUUAGAGUCAUGAAUAUCAGCUCUACUUCACUACAUGGAAUAGACCAUUCUGGUUGCAUGGGAUUUCACUACAGGUUCUCGAUUUAAAAGUGGACCACAACUUCAUCUUACUGGUAAAGCACAAAUAAUCAUCCCGAUUGUAAUCAUCCACCACAAGAGUUUAGCCACUUACUCAAGGAUGUCCUAGUAGCAA